GCCGUGCGUAGUGACGGGUACCUGAAAUCCCAGCUACUUGUGAGGCUGAGGUGGAAGGAUCGCUUGAACCCAGUUGAAACCAGGGGGCAGAGGUUGUAGUGAGUUAAGAUCCUGCCACUGCACUCCAGCCUGGGUNNNNNNNNNNACCCAGGCUGGAGUGCAGUGGCAGGAUCUUAACUCACUACAACCUCUGCCCCCUGGUUUCAACUGGGUUCAAGCGAUCCUUCCACCUCAG
rnacentral:SRP_RNA from 1 species